rnacentral:ribozyme from 1 species
AGAGGAGAAAAUAUAUUUGCAUGUUAUCACAACUGCAGCUUCUUCCUCCCUUUUUCUUUUUCUUCUUUUUUCUGAUUGUUCGCAUCAAUGCGUGUCGGUAUUCAAAUAUGCGGA